rnacentral:rRNA from 1 species
GAGGAAAAGAAACUAACAAGGAUUCCCCUAGUAGCGGCGAGCGAAGCGGGAAAAGCUCAAAUUUGUAAUCUGGCGUCUACGACGUCCGAGUUGUAAUCUCGAGAAGUGUUUUCCGUGAUAGACCGCAUACAAGUCUCUUGGAACAGAGCGUCAUAGUGGUGAGAACCCAGUACACGAUGCGGAUGCCUAUUACUUUGUGAUACACUUUCGAAGAGUCGAGUUGUUUGGGAAUGCAGCUCAAAUUGGGUGGUAAAUUCCAUCUAAAGCUAAAUAUUGGCGAGAGACCGAUAGCGAACAAGUACCGUGAGGGAAAGAUGAAAAGCACUUUGGAAAGAGAGUUAACAGUACGUGAAAUUGUUGGAAGGGAAACACAUGCAGCCAGACUUGCUAUUCGGGGCAACUCGAUUGGCAGGCCCGCAUCAGUUUUUCGGGGCGGAAAAGCAUAGAGAGAAGGUAGCAAUUUCGGUUGUGUUAUAGCUCUUUAUUGGAUUCGCCCUGGGGGACUGAGGAACGCAGCGUGCUUUUAGCAUAAGCUUCGGCUUAUCCACGCUUAGGAUGCGGGUGUAAUGGCUGUAUAUGACCCGUCUUG